rnacentral:rRNA from 1 species
GGUAGCAUAAUCAUUAGUCUCUUAAUUGGAGGCUGGAAUGAAUGGUUGGACGAGGAAUUAACUGUCUUUAUAUUAAAGUUUGAAUUUAACUUUUAAGUGAAAAGGCUUAAAUUUAUUAAAGGGACGAUAAGACCCUAUAAAACUUUACAUCUAGAAUUAGAAUUUUUAAUUGUUUGUAAAAUGUUAAUUCGGGUUUGUUGAUGUUUUGUUGGGGCGAUAGAGAUAUAAUAAUAGAUUAACUGUUUUUUAGUUUAUAACUUUAUUAUUAGGUUUAUAGGUUUUUGGUCCAUUUUUAUUGAUUAGAAGAUUAAGUUACUUUAGGGAUAACAGCGUUAUUAUUUUUGAGAGUUCUUAUCGACAGAAUUUAGUUGCGACCUCGAUGUUGAAUUAAGAUUUCCUUUCAGGC